CAGUAGCCGCGGGAAUACGGAGGGAGCUAGCGUUGUUCGGAAUUACUGGGCGUAAAGCGCACGUAGGCGGUUAUUCAAGUCAGAGGUGAAAGCCCGGGGCUCAACCCCGGAACUGCCUUUGAAACUAGAUGACUAGAAUCUUGGAGAGGUCAGUGGAAUUCCGAGUGUAGAGGUGAAAUUCGUAGAUAUUCGGAAGAACACCAGUGGCGAAGGCGACUGACUGGACAAGUAUUGACGCUGAGGUGCGAAAGCGUGGGGAGCAAACAGGAUUAGAUACCCCAGUAGUCCCUGUCUCUUAUAC
rnacentral:rRNA from 1 species